UACGUAGGGGGCAAGCGUUAUCCGGAUUUAUUGGGCGUAAAGAGCUCGUAGGCGGCCGUUCGCGUCGGCUGUGAAAGCUCAGGGCUCAACUCUGAGAUGCCAUUCGAUACGGGACGGCUAGAGGUAGGUAGGGGAGAGUGGAAUUCCUGGUGUAGCGGUGAAAUGCGCAGAUAUCAGGAGGAACACCGGUGGCGAAGGCGGCUCUCUGGGCCUUACCUGACGCUGAGGAGCGAAAGCUGGGGGAGCGAACAGG
rnacentral:rRNA from 1 species